GCCAGUGUGGUGUAGUGGUUUGGGCAUCAGACCAGGACUCUGGAGAUCAGAGUUUGAAUCCCGGCUCAGCCC